rnacentral:rRNA from 1 species
UACGUAGGGGGCAAGCGUUGUCCGGAUUUAUUGGGCGUAAAGAGCUCGUAGGCGGUUCAGUAAGUCGGGUGUGAAAACUCUGGGCUCAACCCAGAGACGCCACCCGAUACUGCUGUGACUUGAGUACGGUAGGGGAGUGGGGAAUUCCUGGUGUAGCGGUGAAAUGCGCAGAUAUCAGGAGGAACACCGAUGGCGAAGGCAGGUCACUGGGCCGCAACUGACGCUGAGAAGCGAAAGCAUGGGGAGCGAACAGG